UCAAGCUACUAAGGGCAUACGGCGGAUGCCUAGGCGCCAUCAGCCGAUGAAGGACGCGGUAAGCUGCGAAAAGCUACGGGGAACUGCAAGCAAGUAUUGAUCCGUAGAUGUCCGAAUGGGGAAACCCAACUACCGUCAUGGGUAGUUAUCCGAAAGGAAGGGAACCCGGGGAACUGAAACAUCUAAGUACCCGGAGGAAGAGAAAUCAAACGAGAUGCCCACAGUAGCGGCGAGCGAAGAGGGCAGAGGGCAAACCGGUGAGCUACGGCUCGCCGGGGUUGAGGACUGCAUUUAGUCUCAAUGGUUUAUCCGAACUACCUGGAAAGGUAGGCAAAACAGUGUAAAAGCCACGUAGGUUAAAGGCCUAAGAGAUGAGCAGUAUCCAGAGUACCACGAGGCACGAGGAAUCUUGUGGGAAGCCGGGGGGACCACCCUCCAACCCUAAACACUGAAUGGCGACCGAUAGCGCAUAGUACCGUGAGGGAAAGGUGAAAAGAACCCCGGGAGGGGAGUGAAAGAGAACCUGAAACCGUAUGUCUACAAGCAGUCGGAGCGAAAGCGACGGCGUGCCUAUUGAAGAAUGAACCAACGAGUUACGUGCACUAGCGAGGUUAAGUGGAAGACACGGAGCCGAAGCGAAAGCGAGUCUUAAGAGGGCGGAUAGUUAGUGUACGUAGACCCGAAACCGCAGUGAUCUACCCAUGUCCAGGUUGAAGCGCAGGUAAAAUUGCGUGGAGGACCGAACCUGUGAGCGUUGAAAAGCUUUAGGAUGAGAUGUGGGUAGAGGUGAAAUUCCAAUCGAACGCGGAGAUAGCUGGUUCUCCCCGAAAUAGCUUUAGGGCUAGCCUCAAGUAGUAAGUAUAGGCGGUAGAGCACUGAUCGGGCUAGGGGCCAUAAAGGUUACCGAACCCUGUCAAACUCCGAAUGGUUAUACUGUAGAGCUUGGGAGUCAGACUACGAGUGAUAAGAUCCGUGGUCAAAAGGGAAACAGCCCAGACCACCAGCUAAGGUCCCCAAUGUCGUACUAAGUGGAAAAGGAUGUGGGGUCUCUAAAACAACCAGGAUGUUGGCUUAGAAGCAGCCACCAUUUAAAGAGUGCGUAAUAGCUCACUGGUCGAGAGACCCUGCGCCGAAGAUUACCGGGGCUAAAGUACGAAACCGAAGCUGUGGCUACGACAUAUGUCGUGGGGUAGGGGAGCGUUCUGUGAGGGCUGAAGUCGUUCUGUAAGGAACGGUGGACUUCACAGAAGUGAGAAUGUUGGUAUGAGUAGCGAAAAGAAUGGUGAGAAUCCAUUCCACCGAAAGCAUAAGGAUUCCUGGGCAACGAUCGUCGUCCCAGGGUAAGUCGGGACCUAAUCCGAGGCAGAGAGCGUAGGAGAUGGACAACUGGCAGAUAUUCCAGUACCGGUAAUGAUUGUUUGAGCGAUGGAGUGACACAGGAGGGCAGGCAGGCAGGAGAUUGGUUGUUCCUGUACAAGCGUGUAGGAUGGGUUGCAGGCAAAUCCGCAACCUGUGAGUCUGAGGCGUGAUGUGGAGGUUCCGGAAACGGAACUGAAGCUGCUGACCCCACACUGUCGAGAAAAGCUUCUAGUUAGAGAAUUACCGCCCGUACCGUAAACCGACACAGGUAUGCGGGGAGAGAAUCCUAAGGUGCGCGGGAGAACCCUCGUUAAGGAACUCGGCAAAAUGUACCCGUAACUUCGGGAUAAGGGUAGCCAGCGUUGUGAAGUCUGAACAGAUGGAGCAUAAGCUGGUCGCAGAGAAGAGGCCCAAGCGACUGUUUACCACAAACACAGGUGCCUGCUAAAGAGAAAUCUGACGUAUAGGUGCUGACACCUGCCCAGUGCCGGAAGGUUAAGGAAGGAUGUCCGGAGCAAUCCAAAGCAUUCGACCGAAGCCCCGGUGAACGGCGGCCGUAACUAUAACGGUCCUAAGGUAGCGAAAUUCCUUGUCGGGUAAGUUCCGACCCGCACGAAAGGUGUAACGAUUUGGGCACUGUCUCAACGAGGGACCCGGUGAAAUUGAAGUACCUGUGAAGAUGCAGGUUACCCGCGACUGGACAGAAAGACCCCAUGGAGCUUUACUGUAACCUGACAUUGUGUUCUGAUACAUCACGUACAGGAUAGGUGGGAGACUUGGAAGCUGUGACGCUAGUCACAGUGGAGUCAACGUUGGGAUACCACCCUUGAUGUAUCGGAAUUCUAACCGUAGGAGUAACGAAACUCGGGACAGUGUCAGGCGGGCAGUUUGACUGGGGCGGUCGCCUCCCAAAGAGUAACGGAGGCGCCCAAAGGU
rnacentral:rRNA from 1 species